rnacentral:rRNA from 1 species
CAGUAGCCGCGGUAAAACGAGGGGUGCAAGCGUUAUUCGGAUUGAUUGGGUGUAAAGGGUGUGCAGACGGCUUAUUAAGUCACUUGUUAAAUUCUUCGGCCUAACUGAAGGUCUGCAAGUGAUACUGAUGAGCUAGAGGGUGGAAGAGAGAAGUGGAAUUCUCGGAGUAGCGGUGAAAUGCGUAGAUAUCGAUCGGAACACCCAUGGCGAAGGCAGCUCGCUGCCUAACACUGACGCUGAGGCGCGAAAGCGUGGGGAGCAAACAGGAUUAGAUACCCCCGUAGUCCCUGUCUCUUAUACA